rnacentral:rRNA from 1 species
CCUACGGGAGACAGCAGUGGGGAAUAUUGGGCAAUGGGCGCAAGCCUGACCCAGCAACGCCGCGUGAAGGAAGAAGGCUUUCGGGUUGUAAACUUCUUUUCUCAGGGACGAAGCAAGUGACGGUACCUGCGGAAUAAGCCACGGCUAACUACGUGCCAGCAGCCGCGGUAAUACGUAGGUGGCAAGCGUUAUCCGGAUUUACUGGGUGUAAAGGGCGUAUAGGCGGGAUUGCAAGUCAUAUGUCAAAACCACGGGCUCAACCUGUGGCCUGCAUGUGAAACUGUAGUUCUUGAGUACUGGAGAGGAAGAGGGAAUUCCUAGUGUAGCGGUGAAAUGCGUAGAUAUUAGGAGGAACACCAGUGGCGAAGGUGGUCUGCUGGACAGCAACUGACGCUGAGGCGCGAAAGCGUGGGGAGCAAACAGGAUUAGAUACCCGAGUAGUC